rnacentral:rRNA from 1 species
AACGUAGGUGGCGAGCGUUAUCCGGAUUUACUGGGCGUAAAGGGUGUGCAGGCGGGGAACCAAGUGGUGUAUGAAAUCGCCCGGCUUAACCGGGCGCGGUUAUGCCAGACUGGUGCUCUGGAGUGCGAGAGAGGGGCGUGGAAUUCCGGGUGUAGUGGUGAAAUGCGUAGAGAUCCGGAGGAACCCCAGAGGCGAAGGCGGCGCCCUGGCUCGCAACUGACGCUCAGACACGACAGCAUGGGGAG